GUUUUAAGAAUCUGAGCUUAACAGAAUUCUCAUGAGCAGUUGAAGAUACCCCACCAAUAUUUCCUUUCGGAGAGGAGUCCUGGAUGCUAAAACUGAACUAAUAAUUUCUUAGCCAGAGUUCCUGCAGCUUAUCAGAAAAAUAAUCGAGUUGAGAGUAAUUGGGUUUACAUCAUGGAUUG
ensembl:lncRNA